CCUACGGGUGGCAGCAGUGGGGGAUAUUGCACAAUGGGGGGAACCCUGAUGCAGCGACGCCGCGUGGGUGAAGAAACGCCUCGGCGCGUAAAGCCCUGUCAGCAGGGAAGAAAAUGACGGUACCUGAAGAAUAAGCCCCGGCUAAACCCGUGCCAGCAGCCGCGGGCAAACGUAGGGCGCAAGCGUUAUGCAGUUUUAAUGGGUGUAAAGGGGGCGGAGAGGGGGGUGCAAGCACCGAGUGAAAGCCCGGGGCCCAAACCCGGGAACGCUCUUGAUACUGGGUGGCUAGAGUGAGAGAGAGGCAGGCGGAAUUCCUGGUGAAGCGGUGAAAUGCGUAGAUAUCAGGAGGAACACCGGAGGCGAAGGCAGCCUACUGGAC
rnacentral:rRNA from 1 species